rfam:Brachypodium distachyon strain Bd21 chromosome 2, whole genome shotgun sequence.
UUUAUACUCCCUCCGUUUUAUAAUUCUUGUCUCAAAUUUGUCAAAAAAUGGAUGUAUCUAUUAUUAAAAGAUGUCUAGAUACAUGUAAGAUUUCGACAAAAAUUAUGAAACGGAGCGAGUAUUUU